rnacentral:rRNA from 1 species
UGCAGUCGAGCGGGGAAAGGUAGCUUGCUACUUGACCUAGCGGCGGACGGGUGAGUAAUGCUUAGGAAUCUGCCUAUUAGUGGGGGACAACAUCUCGAAAGGGAUGCUAAUACCGCAUACGUCCUACGGGAGAAAGCAGGGGACCUUCGGGCCUUGCGCUAAUAGAUGAGCCUAAGUCGGAUUAGCUAGUUGGUGGGGUAAAGGCCUACCAAGGCGACGAUCUGUAGCGGGUCUGAGAGGAUGAUCCGCCACACUGGGACUGAGACACGGCCCAGACUCCUACGGGAGGCAGCAGUGGGGAAUAUUGGACAAUGGGGGGAACCCUGAUCCAGCCAUGCCGCGUGUGUGAAGAAGGCCUUUUGGUUGUAAAGCACUUUAAGCGAGGAGGAGGCUACCGAGAUUAAUACUCUUGGAUAGUGGACGUUACUCGCAGAAUAAGCACCGGCUAACUCUGUGCCAGCAGCCGCGGUAAUACAGAGGGUGCAAGCGUUAAUCGGAUUUACUGGGCGUAAAGCGUGCGUAGGUGGCCAAUUAAGUCAAAUGUGAAAUCCCCGAGCUUAACUUGGGAAUUGCAUU